UGCCGUGUGGUGAGCACAGAGCGAACUAAUCUUUUUCCUUUCACUAAGGAAUAUCGUGUGCUCGCCACUUUUAGCAGCGUACUCCAAUUUUUGGAAGAGCUUUACUCUUAUUAAAAAA
rnacentral:snRNA from 1 species